UACGUAGGUGGCGAGCGUUGUCCGGAUUUACUGGGCGUAAAGGGAGCGUAGGCGGACUUUUAAGUGAGAUGUGAAAUACUCGGGCUCAACUUGAGUGCUGCAUUUCAAACUGGAAGUCUGGAGUGCAGGAGAGGAGAGUGGAAUUCCUAGUGUAGCGGUGAAAUGCGUAGAUAUUAGGAGGAACACCAGUUGCGAAGGCGGCUCUCUGGACUGUAACUGACACUGAGGCACGAAAGCGUGGGGAGCAAACAGG
rnacentral:rRNA from 1 species